rnacentral:rRNA from 1 species
UACAGAGGUCCCAAGCGUUGUUCGGAUUCACUGGGCGUAAAGGGUGCGUAGGUGGCAGGGUAAGUUUGAUGUGAAAUCUCCGAGCUCAACUCGGAAACUGCAUUGAAUACUAUCCUGCUUGAGGAUUGGAGGGGAGACUGGAAUUCUCGGUGUAGCAGUGAAAUGCGUAGAUAUCGAGAGGAACACCAGUGGCGAAGGCGGCUUCCUGGACCGGUUCUGACACUGAGGAGCGAAAGCGUGGGGAGCGAUCCGG